rnacentral:misc_RNA from 1 species
AAUUAUCAACCAUGUCUAGAUUGAUUUCGAAGCCAUGGCUUGGAGUUGGGAUGUUGCUGGCAGUGAAAUGCAGUCAGCUGUCCUGAAAUGUAUUAGCAAAGGUGAACAUGCAGGUCUUUCUUGGACAUGCACGGCCUUCGAUGUGAUAAUGAUCGUCGUGGCUGGAGUGUUCAGACAUGCACUAAAUCAUCCUUGCUUCCAAUCCUUUAACAUUGACUGCUUUUUGUGGAAAAAUGUUAUUUUUGACA